rnacentral:rRNA from 1 species
UACGUAGGGUGCAAGCGUUGUCCGGAAUUAUUGGGCGUAAAGAGCUCGUAGGCGGUUUGUCGCGUCUGCUGUGAAAACUCGGGGCUCAACCCCGAGCCUGCAAUCGAUACGGGCAGACUAGAGUGCUGUAGGGGAGACUGGAAUUCCUGGUGUAGCGGUGAAAUGCGCAGAUAUCAGGAGGAACACCGGUGGCGAAGGCGGGUCUCUGGGCAGUAACUGACGCUGAGGAGCGAAAGCGUGGGGAGCAAACAGG